rnacentral:lncRNA from 1 species
AGAUUGUGUCCUUCCAGAGGAGGAAAUCUACUUCUAGACUUCUAGAAUCAGCAUCUCCUCAUCCAUGGUGUCAUCGGGGUGAAAUGACGUCUAAAAACCUUUCACUUGUUCGUCUCCGCCCGUUUGCAUGGUGUGAAAUACGAUCCUCCUGAAACACGGAGUGUUUUAUUUUGAAAAGAAGCCGGAUGUUUUAUUUUGUGUCUGUGCCCGACUUCCUUUCCAGCACGGGUUAAUCUGUGCUGAAUUUAUCCGCCAUGCUCCGGCGUCCGGAAAAAGUAGAAGUAGUAUAUACAGGCUAUGUUUACAACUGAGCAUUCAAAGUCACUUUUUUCAUUGUGACACAAAUGUAUAUGAUCUCAAAUGGGGCUCAGAUCUGCACCUCAACAUUAUCGUCACAUUACAGAGAAGAAAGAGUGUUUCAUACAUGAUCAUUGAAGUGUAUAACUCCAGAUUUUUUGUGAUUUAAUUGAAGUUUUCAGACAGUCUUUAACAGCCGAAGUAUACCUGUGUGUCGUCUGCAUAGCAACGAAAAGAGACUCUGUAGUGUUGAAUUGUUUAAUGACAGUGUUAGCAUGCAAAUAGAAAAUGAAAUGGGACCGAAAACCGAACCCUGAGGGACACCACAGGUAAUGUCAAAAGAGGAAGAGGAGCGAGAAAUCCAUAAAUAUCUUUAUCAUGCUCGUCACACAAGAAGUAACUCUACCUAAAAAGGUUCUUGUCUCAAAUAUAAAACCUUUAAGGAUCUGAAUUUGCUCUGACAGACUGCAUUGUGGUCUUGUAUCCUGAUUUAUAGAUGUCAAUCAAAGCGAUCAAUCAGAUCAGACACCUAACUAUAGAAAUACUGGAGUGAUCUUGUACAGAAGGCCGGCCGCAGUAACUAAACGCUCAGUUUUCACAGGCGGACGAGACCAGAAUGAAUCACCACCCCGGGCAGACGGCUGAUGGGGCGCUUAAUAGAUGGCUGUUUUUAGCCGUCUGCCAUUUAUAAGGCUUUUAGCGCAAUAGAACCCUGAACACAACCUUUAAACCUCGCACAAGAACGCCGCACCAAGGUUUUAAGAGGCACUUGUGCAGGAAACAAGACAGUGAGGGAUAUAUAGGCAGCCCAGCGGCAGAGAGAUAAAUGACGGAGGGACAAAGAGGAGGAGAUAGGAGGGAUGGACGGGGGGUUGGAGAACAGAGGGAGGGGACGGGCGGGGUGGCCAUGGGUGCUCUCAUGACUCCAUCAGCCCAUCCUUCACUGUGAGCCAGGGGAUCAAAUACCAGACCGAUCAAUCGUCCAGCAAGCAGACGUCCACAGAGCGGACCGUGAUGGCAUUUACCUCCCCAGGGUGCAUAUCAAUACAGUAAAGAAAGGGACCAUACAAAAUGGAUGGUUUCAUCAUCAUCAUCAUCAUCAUCAUCAUCAUCAUCAUCAUCAUCAUCAUCCCUUCUCUGGCUCUUGAUUCGCUCUCUGGCCCUGACUGCUGUCUAUCUCUUCAACCCAGUGCCUUUUAUGACCUCUCUCUCUCUCUCUCUCUCUCUCUCUCUGUCUCUCUCUCUCUCUCUCUCUCUCUGUCCUGUUUCUUUCAUUGUGCCGGAUUGAUGUUCACCAGACAAGGACUGACCCCUCAAAGUCACAGGUUUUGAAGAAGACCCUGAGUUAAAUCAAGUUUUGACAGCUUCUGUUUCUUCGCUGUUUCACGAAGGCGGGGCUGGAAACUGACAAACCGAGUCUGAGAAUGACUCCAAAUUAUCUGCAGACGUCUCUCCCUCUCCAAACUAACAGACUCUCCAGAAUAAACACCAGAUAAAGCAUCAAAAAUCUGUGUUUCGCGGCAGUACAGGCGAAGGGGUCGAGAAAGGUCAAUCUUAUUUGAGGGGGUGUUUAUUUCUUUGAGUAAUUACUCCUCCUCUGCUGUUUGAAAAGUCUAAACCAGGAGCUGAAUUAUCUGUAAACGCCUCAUCUGGUCUAAAACUAACAGUCCUUUUGAUUAAGACGAGUAAACUAAUGAGUGAAGCAGAUUCGCCGCACAUGUAGUGUGUCUGUAAUACUUCUGCGAGGCAGCACAUCGGAUUUCUGCACAGAUCAACUUUAGUUUAAGUCACUAAAGUGUCGAGCUUUAUGUUGAAUUCCUGUAAUUCACAGUUAUGUGGACGAUCAUUUCUAAAUCCAGCUAUAAAAACCUUUGACUUUGAUUAAUAAAAAAAACUUACUUUAGUGGUAUUAGUGUCUGUUUUUAGCCACUAACGUUUAACUGCUUUAAAAAAUAUAUCAGAUUACUAUUUCUUUAUACUUUUUUUGCAUAAAUCUGUUGAGCAACUUCAGUCCAAAACUGCUAAAUAUUAAAAAAUAUAUAAUAAUCUGGAUUUUAACCCUUUAAGUGCCAAUUUAAAAGAUGAAGUCACUGAUUUUGGGAGGGGAAAAACACAAAAUUACCUAUUUUUAAUUAAAAAAAUGAAUUUUCUACCUGCUAUCACAGUUGGACAUGUCAAAGAUUAGCAAUGUAACUGGUUCUGAUGCGUAUUUAGUUUUUGUGCAGUAACAGAUAUUAUACCAUUUCCAAGACAGUGAUAACAUGAAACAAUUGUCUUUGUCCAAUCACUUUUUAUCUUGAAAAUAGCUCAUUUUGUGUGUAUUUUUCCUCAUAUCAGUGACUUUCUUUUUUAAACUGGCAUUCAAAGGGUUAAAAUUUUUUAUUUUUAAAAAAUAUUUACCAGUUUUGAUCAAGACUGAGGUUGAUGAACAGAGUUAUGCAAAAAAAAGUAAAAUAAAAAUGUAUCUGAUAUAUUUUUUACAGCAGUCAAAGUUAGUGGCUGAAAACAGCCACUGAUACCACCAAAGGGUAGUAAAUCUGCUGACAGUUUACUAUUGACCUUAUGAAAAUUUUGAAAUCAUAUUUUCAAAUGAUAUGGAAAAAUAAAGUUUGUCAGCGAAAAUCAUGUCAUUUGCUGCAAUACAGUGAAAGUUACAGUCAAAUUAAGAGGAAAAGUUGAAGCUUAGUGGAUGUUUUUGUCACCAAUACUGUAAAAGAGUUCAGUUCAGUUUUCUUUAACACCAUCAUCACCAAACUGUGAUUGAGGGAAUGCAAUAACUUUAGACCCAGACCCUAAACUCCUCUAAAUGCAUCCCAAGCUCUGACUAUACAAUCCCCUCCAUGUGUGCCGAUCUAUCUGUGUAAAUAAUUCAAAUGUUUGUCGACAUUUACUUCAUUUCAGACAAAGAGGACAUUUAUUUCCUUUUUUUCAAGCCUCUUUUGAUUUCUCUCUACAGUCUAGAAAAACAGCGAAGAAGACCAACAGUCAUUGUCACUUCCUUAAUAAUGGAGGUCCGUAUCACACAGCCGAACAUUAUUUAUCAAGAGUUUAAAGUUUUCUUAUAGACUAGCUUAGAUAAAACCCUGAUCUCGAUCACGUCAAUCUUGUCUCUAAAUAUCCUCAUUUUACACCUUAAAGACAUGCGCUGGUUAAAGUUAGUUAAGGACUUUGAGGCCUUGGACUGACAUGUAAAUGAGGAGUUUCAGUCAAAGCAGCAGGAUUCGAAGCCUCUUAGAUCCAUUUUUGGGGAGAUGAAAACGUCCAGCUGCAACCCUGACCAUGCCGCCGCCCACGUUCACCCACACAUUCACACUGAUGGAGCUUUAAUCUGACACUGAAUUAUCACAGAGCCUGACCUCGCUGACCUUUGCAGACCCAUUAAAGCUCUCAUUUGCAUGUUAACCAGCGAAGCCAGCCGAUACCCCCCGCAGUCAUGUGACAAACGGCACAAUGGGACGUGCGCCAGCAGAAUACCAAAGCUCCUGUUGUUCUUGGCUUUGUUUGUGUGUGUGGAUGAAGCGCGGAGGAGUUUAUGAAGCCAGGAGGUCAAAGCAUCAAUACGCCUCAUACAAACACACACACACACGGUUGUCACAUACACCCGCCCUCAAGGGCAAAAGACAACAAGAGAUUAACACGAGCUGUAUUUUCUCUGUCGUCCCAUCUGGCCCCGGCUGAGAGCGUUUUUAUGCCCGACACCUGUGGCAAACAUCCUCCGUCUUCUUCCAGCGGUCAGUGUGCAGAGAAGUGCCGCUUCUGGAAGCAAAUGCUCCAUCGUUUAAUCAUGUCUGGGCGCGCUCCCUCCAGCGUUUCCAGUCUCAUUACUCUCUCUGUCGCCGUUAAGUAAACAGAACAAUCGGAGGGCCAGCUGCCCUCGGUGCUGUGGAAAAAGAGAAAGAGGACCCCGGUUCCACAUGAGGUGAUUUGCCGAGUUAUAACCCACACAUCGAUAAUACUCGCAGUCCUCACAAACAAAGCCCAGUUAGUCGUACUGACCCCGCAACAUUUCAUAAAAGCUGCAAUAAAGCAUAAAUCAGGAGCGUCUUAGAGUCGGAUUGAAGUUCUGACCGGGCCGCCAGCUGUGUCGAAGCAUCGGCCAUGAAAACAGCAUAAAUAUUUUGGCAGGUCGGUGGUCAGAGGAUAUUGAAGCACGGGCGUUGAGCGCUCAGGGAUAUUGAUUUUGCCUUAGUGGCCAAGAAGCAGAGCUCUACUGGCAUCGAUAGGAGAAAAGGGGGGUGAAUGAGGAGCCGUGACCUUGAGCCAGGAAGCAAUCCCGUCAAAUAAAGCUCCGGGAAGGAAACGCAGAAACAAAACCCCGAGUAUGUGAGAGCGCCGAGACUCAGGGUGACACUGAGGUCUAUAGAGAGACCAUAAAGGGGACCACACCGCUGUUUGAAGCAAUCUCCUCCACGUCUGAUAGAUAUUGAUUUAAGAGCAGCUUUCCAUUUGGAGAGAUGAUUAAAUAUCUGUAUUCCUGGAGCUUUUCUUACAUGUUAAUGCUUUUACACAGAGAAGACUGAGAUGGGUUAAUCUUGUCGUUGGGCUGCAGAGGAUCGAAACAUAAAACAUCCAAAUAUCAAUAGGAAGCCGCAGGAAAACAAAAGGGACAAGUAAAGACGCGUUCACACUCUGACGUAAAUUCCCUGUUGAGACAGUUGUACAGUUAAUUACUUUAACAAAUGCAUGUAAAGAUCACGGCCUUAUGGUACGUUCCAGUUGUACUCAGAAGUCGGGAUUUUCGGGCUCUGAGUCGGAACUUUCAACUGGAAUGAACUCAAGGUCAGAUUUCCGACCUGUAAAGUUGGAUGAUUGUCACCGAAUCCUGACUUGACAACGUCAUAAUCCAAGAUGGCGGCACAGUGCAUCAACAGUAAAGAGUGACAGUAAAAGCUCUCGUAAUAUUUUAUUUAUUAGCACUUCUGUUUUGUUUUUGUGAAAUUAAAUAAGUGGUUUAUGUUGUUCUGCCCAACGUCUAACUGUGAACACGGUGCUGUGGUGUUUGUAGAGUAAAAUACUGUGUUAUGCUUGUUUACAACUGGUAUAGCUAACACUGGCUAACAACAACUGACCACCGCUGAGGACAGCUAAGAACAAGUGACAACGGCCAAGGACAGCUGACAAUUGUAAACAAUAGCUGACAACAGCUAACAACUGCUAAUGACAAACAACAGCUAACAACUGCUAAUGACGGCUAACAACAGCUAACAACGGCUGACAACAACUGACAACUGCUAAAAACAGCUAACAGGUGCUAACGACUGCUAAUGACAAACAACAGCUAACAACUGCUAAUGACGGCUUACAACAGCUAACAACAGCUGACAAUGGCUGACAACAACUGACAAUCGCUAACAACAGCUAACAAUGGCUAACGACAGCUAAGAAUGGCUAAUGAGAGCAAACAAUGGCUAACAACAGCUAACAAUGGCUAAAAAUAGCUGACAACAACUAGCAAUGGCUAACAACAGCUAACAACAGCUAACAAUGGCUAACUGCAGCUAACAAUGAAUAACAACGGCUGACAAUGGCUGACAUCGUUUACUGGAACGCCGUCAAAUCGGAUAUAACGUCAUUCCCUGCUCCAACAUCCGACCUCAGAGGUAACUAGAAUGCAGCUUUAUAUCUUUACCAGGAUAGAUUAGGAAUAAUUUUGGUCUCUAAUUUCUUAAUUCAAUAAACACAUCAGGAAACUUUAAUCUUGACUUUACAGGCAUCUGGCUUUUUCAGAGUUUAUUGUGGCGGGCCGUAACAAAGAUAAUGAUCAAAUACGUGAAACAAAGAUUUAAGCUUCGGGAAAUGAAUGCAUGUUGAAGCCAGUUGCAGGUUCGGGUCUGUUGAUAACAGAGCCGGCAGGUGAAGUCAAAGCCCAGAUGAAGAGGAUGAGGUGUUGUGUUCCUGAAGCUUUUCUAUUAUCUGACUAUCAGCUCUGACUGAGUUCACCGGCUCCUCGAACCUUCAUAAGACUUCAGAGAUGAAGAUAAGACCGGCUCAGAUUGCUGAAGCUCAAUCUAGUUGCACGCUGUACUCCGCUGUGAUACUUACAGCCAACAAUAACUCUUACUUCGAGCAGAGAGCUGUUCGCCAUCAUGAUUGAAAACUUCACACUCACUGUCAUAAAAGCUCGAACUUCUCUUCUUCAAUAAUUGCCGUGUCGGAGUCGACCUCGUGUUCUGAUUCCUGGCGUGUUUCGGCUCAUCUGCUUAUUUCAGAGUUUGUUGAUGCUACAGCGGAUCACGGGUCAAGAGGAAGUGGAGUCCUACUGAUGUUUACAUGCUUCAACAAUAAAUGACACUUGAAACAACAAGCUCAGACUUGAUCCUUCGCUGACUGGGUCGUAUGGAAAAUGCAUCCAAGACCAAUUAAAAUCCACAGGACGCCGUUUUUCCGGGAAUAACAACACAGCGGCGUUUCUGCUCGAACAUAAGAAAUGAAAACCUGAUUGUGGAGGAAAAUGAUGUUGUUACGGAGCUUAAAGACGCAGAUCCUCCAAACGUUGAACUUUUCUUUUAUUGGAUUCACUGAUUUCACCGGGUUACCUCCAGAUUCCUGAGGUUGUUUCAGGAUUUAGACCCUCAAAAAGACCCUUAGCAAAGCCAGCACCUCCAUUUCUCUGCUCUCUAUCACCUCGCAUUGUCCGCCUCACAAUCCUCCUCCUCCUGCUCCUGCUCCCUCUUUCAUUCCACAGAGAUGAUUUAUUUUGUUUCUCCUCUCUCCUCCUCCAGUCCUCGGCCGACCUCAGGGUCAGCGCCGAGCUCCAUCACUCUGUCUGCUCCUUAAUCCCCACACUGGAGACGCCCGUGCCAAUACAGGAGAAUAACAGAUUAAAAAACACAUCCCGGGCUCCGAGUAUCUCCCUGUUUUCCCCCUCUGUCUCUGCCUCCCCUCACUCCUCACAACAGAUAAGUGGAAAAAUAAACUUGGAGAAGCUAAGCCGGAGUUGAGGGGAGCAGGCAUGACGGAGGAGCUUCCUGCACGCCGCUUAAUGAAGGUGAUGCAGCAAGGCAAGGCAGGGGCGCUCUGAGUUAUAACGGAGGAGCCUUGGGAGGUGUCACGACUGCGGGCGGGAAGGUUUCCACUUGGCUGCAGUCGUCUAAGGAAGAUACAUGGUUGACCCCAGACGAAAAUAUAAGGAGCAGAACAUCCAAAUAAUGAAACCUGAGGCUCCAUUUUCACAGAAGCAGAAAGGAUGGUCAUUGUCUUCUUUGGCUCUGAAGUGAACAAAGACAGGAAAGGCCAUUAUUGCUAAUGAAGACAAAAACUCUACGCUUCUUUAAGACAGAGAGGAUGAAAAUAAGAAGAGCCAAAGUGGGAGAAAUUUGGCAAAAAGGCUCGUUUACACUCUGGAGGUCACAUUCAAGCCUCGCCGCUGAUCCAAGACCAGCUUCACUCAGAACCCACGGUGGUAUUUACACCGCCUCACAAGCCAGCCAGUGACCUUCAAGCAGAGUGUUUAACAAAGCGACCCGGUCCUUUUAUUCCGAUCGGAAGCUCUUGUCCUUGUUGUGUGAGGGAUGGGAGGAAAAAGAGAGGAAGGGGGACAGCAACAAGAGUUUCACUCAUGAAAGGAAAACCUGGAGAGUGCACAAGUAUCCGUCCAUGCAGGUUCAACAUCUUUGUUGCUAUGACAACUCUUCAGGUGACUAAAAUGGUGUUGAAACUUGAGCACUUCCAGCAGGUUUUUGGGAAUAUGUUAUUCUUAAAAACUGUGACGCCAUUUUUACCUUCUAGAUAGAUCUAAGUGACUAUAUUAGGUUAUUUAAACAGUUAAAAGUCAUGGUUGAUGAAACUGAGCCGUUGAGGCCGAUUUGAGCUGUUGGUCACAUUUCACAUUUCCUCUUUGACUCCGCCUUUUCUUCUAUCAGCUUGUGUUUUCUUCCCACUUUUGGCGGCGGGGCGAGCACAAGUGUUUUUUGUUGGGUUUUUUUUUGCGUCCUUCUCCAUCACAGCUCCUGUAGCUAAGCUGCUACGCUACUUUUAGUCGCGGGGACGAGUUGAAUGUGUCGAAUACAGCGAGGCAAUUGAAUGGAGAGGCAGAGCAGGAGAUUAACCAAUAGGCUGUCCGGGACGCAACUUUUAUUUUUUUUUUGUCAGAUGGUAGGAAAAAGUUCUUCGCCUCUGAUUGGCUUGAAAAGCUGGAAACGUCAUCAUCAGCCCAAGCCAAAUGCAGACAUGUCGGCUCUGGACAUCGAACAGAAAAUUAUCGCACUUCUGAAUCUCCUAAUCCUAACGGACGAUGACGUUUCACAGCCAUAAGGAAUAACCAAUCGGAGUCCAGCACUUCUAGCCAAUCAAAGGCGAAGGAGGGCGUGACCUUCCUUUUACCAUCCUACAAAAAAGAAAUUUCGUCUGGACGGAUGGCUCUCAUUGGUCAGUGUUUUUGCAGCCCUGCGCCUGAUAGGGUGAACAGAUUUUUUCCGAUCUUUUUUCUCUUGACUUGGUAGAGAUCGCACUAUAGGACCAUGAUCGCCAUAGAAACGAGGUUCGUCAUAAUAAUUACUAAUCUCUCCAAUCUUCAACCAUGCCUUCAAUUAGAAUAAAUAAUAUAAUGCUAGAAAAAAACUGCACUGAUAUUGGACGGAGAAUAAAAGCAAAAAUAUAAGAAUGAUCAACGAGUUAACAGUAAUAUCACCACUCAGCUUCAUCAUACGGUUAAUGAAAAUAAAUCCAAUGAAGGGAAAUUAAAUCCUGCAUUUGUAAAACUUCAGAGUAUCUUUAAAGUGGAGCCUGGCUGUACUGGGUCAGCGAACUCAUAUAAGAGCUCAUUAGCUGAGUUUCAACGGAUGAAUUCUGCGGGAACAAAAAGACAGAAAAGAAAAGAAGAAAGCAGGAAAAGUUUCUCUGUCUGCGUGUGCACUCACAUUUUCAGACUUAUUGUUCCCUCCUCUACACCUCUCUGACUCGGUGACAGUAGGGUGCAUGGAGGACAGAGGAGGGGGGCUCACUGUCCUCUAAAACACCACCCUCCCCCCAUAAAGAAAGACAACAGGACUCCUCUCUCUCUCCCUCUCCCAGGGUUUUACUGCAGCCUCUACACAUGCUGUCAGUCCUUUGAGACUCGCUGGACUCUGACAGCACAGCCUGCUCUCACAAUGUGUUUAUUGGACACGGCUGCAUGUGCUGCUUCACCCCCCCACCCCGCCCCCAAAACCCCGUCUGUGAGGUGCUGACGGCAGGUGGGGGGCCCCGGCUGGAGGGUGAGGUCAUCUGUGCAGCUCAGCGAGGAGGAAGAGCGGGAGCAUUCAGGUCAAAGUGAGCGGGUAAAAGACGUCCCGUGUGUUUGGACGGAGCGAGGAGGGAGGAUGAGUGUGAGAGGUGUGUAAAAGAGAUGGAGAGGUGAGGUUCAGGAGGAAUAUUCUCAUAUUCUCUCUUUUUUAGACGCUCUGAUCCGUCUUUGUGAUCAUCCACACAAACACACCUCAUACUGUAUACUGAAGUCAACACCGUUCUGCAUAAUUCGAGUUAACAGUGUGAUUCUAAACUAGUCGUGUUCUCUGCUUGUUUGUGCAGAGGUUACCAUGACAACCAGCUCCAUCCUGUUACAUCAGGGUUGGUGCUGAUGAAUGUUGAGCUGCAGUUCAUCAAACUGCAAUUACUGCAAAAAAAGAAAGAAAGAAAGAAAAAGGAGGAAAUGUUGAAAAAAAGGACUGAACUUCACAGAAACUGAAAGAGGAUGUGAGGGGAUAUGAUACCGGACUGAGCGGACCAAUCACACGUCAGGCUGGACGUGGACUUCUACAGAGGUACGAGGGCAUGUGGACUGAAAUAAAAGAUCAAAGCUGAAUUCCAGUUGUACUCGGAAGUGGAAUUUCCAAGAGUAUUAACAGUAAAGAAACAAUGAAAGCUCUCUUAAUUUUUUAUUUAUUAGUGCUUUUUGUUUUGUUUUUGUGAAAUUAAAUAAGUGGUUCAUGUUGUACUGCCCAACGUCUAACUGUGAACACGGGGAUAUGGUGUUUGUGAGAGUUAAAUACUGUGUUAUAUGUUGUUUACAACAGGUAUAGCUAACAACAACUAACAACGGCUAACGACAGCUGACAAUUGUAAACAACGGCUAACAACAGCUAACUGUAGGUGUAGAUCUUGGUUUUCUGACUUGUGAACUGGAACGCCGUCAACUCGGGUGUAACGUCAUUUCCAGCUCUGACAACCGACCUCCGAGGUAACUGGAACGCAGCAUAAGUCAAGGGUGUGAUUUAGGCUCACUAAGAACUUCGAUAAGGGUGUAAUCAAGGAUGACUUUAAAUAAAUUCAGAUUUAGGGGUGUCACGAUGCAACUAUUUCACUUCCAAUACGAUACCGAUAUGGUAACUUUCAGUAUCAGCCGAUACCGAUAUUGAUCCGAUAUUGGCACAAACUUGUUAGGGACUUUAACCAAACUUAUUGACACAGGGCCGACAUCACCCCGACUCCUCUCUACUUUGUUAGUACUUUAGUACACACUGUUGUUGUGAUUACAUCAGCUCUGCAUGCUAGAUCCGGGCGCUGCUAGAUAGAGGUGCUGGAGUGGAGUCUGGAGUGCUGAUAUCAGAGAUUUUAGAUGCAGGCCGAUAUAAUCGGAUAUUUGUUUUUUGACUGAUAUCGGACCGAUAUCCGAUAUCAAUAUCAUAUCGGGACAGCUCUAGUAAGGUUAUAAUAAAAGCUAGGUUUACACUUUUUAAGGGUGUAAAAACAAAGCUAGGUUAGAGUAAAUUAAGGCGUAGCUAAGGGUGUAAUAAAGGAUUUGAUAAUGGUGUCAUAGAGACGAAGUCAGGGCUUAUCUGAAGGUGAAAUGAAGGUUUAUUUUAGGUGUAGUUGAGGGUGUAGUGUUUGUUAAAGGUCUAGUUAAGGCUUUAGUUUAAGAUGUAAUAAAAGCUUAAUUAAGAGUGUUAUAAAGUCUAAAUCCAUGUUUUGUCAAAAAGCUUAGUUAAGACUUGUUUAGGUGUAUUAAGGCUGUUUUAAAGUUCAGUUUAGGCUAAAAUAAAGAUUAAAUUAAUGUUUUGUUUAGGUAUUAAUAAAGGGUUUAUUUAGUAAUGUUAUUAACUUGAUAAACACUCAGGUAAGACUUCUUUGAUGGUGUUAUAAAGAAUUAGUUUAGACUGAAAUUAAGAGUUAAUUCAUGUUUUGUUUAGGAUGUAACUAAGGCUUCGCUUAGAUAUUAAUAAAGGGUUUAUUCAGGUUAUACUGGGUGUGAUGUUAUUGAUUUGAUAAACACUCAGGUUAGACGUAUUUGAGGGUUUUACAAAGACUUAGUUUGGGGUUUUAUUUGCACAUAUCAGCACAAACAGCAUAACUGGAGAAGUGAAGUGAUGUAAACAUGAGUUUUUAACAUUCAGGACAUCGCCACAAUCAUGAAGUUCAUCGUCUUGUAAAUAUCGUCCAUAAAAACAUGAGUGUACAGAGGACGGAGGAGACACAGUGGACAAAGACGGACAUGUCCGUGUGAUUCGAUAACAACCUCAUAACAAACUUCCACCAUUAAAUCCGUCUUUGUGUGUCUGUGUGUCUUUCUGUGUGAGGCGACAGCUCGCUGCCCACCGCCUUGUUAGAGCGGUGAUUGAUUGAGCAGGUCUGGCAGGCCUGAGCCCCCUGCCCGGUUCAUUUGUUAUACAUUUAUAGUUCAUAAUCCAUCUGCUCUCACCUCCUCACAUUCCUGCUCAUUUUUCAUCCUCCUUUUGUAUCACGGGGGUCAUUUUUCUGCGUGGCCGUGAUAGAUUGUUUAGAGUCUGCUGUCUAUAAUUGGCUCAGAUAGUGGGAAGACUCACAUGUGUUUAUCAUUAGAGGCUGAGUGUGCCUGCAGAUCUCUUCAUCAUCGCUCACAAUAGACGUCCAAACUUCAAUUAUUGAGAUAAAUUGAUUUAUUAAGCAAUUCCUGGAACUGUUUGAGGACGCAGGGGCGCUUUAUAAUUCUUAUUUUAAUCAAGCACUUCACAUAAGCUGCAUUCAAACAUCUUUCUCCUGUGUUUGACUUUCUUCAUGCACUUUGUUUGUCUCAUGUGCGACCAGCAGGUGGCAGUAGAGGACCGUGCAUGAGUGCGCUGCGGCUGAGUCAUUCAGAGUUUACCAUCUGUUGCUCUGCAAGAGUUCCCGAGAGAUAGCAGACGCGGGAGGUAGACCUAAAGCUGAUACUCGGGCUCAUCCCAGUUUUUAUUAUUGUUUUAUUAUUUAUCUCCGCGGCUCUCGGCCCGCCUCUCUCUGGUCACUUUUUUAAAUUACUGUCUGAAUUACACUGCCCUGAGGCGGGCGGAGGUUUAACAGCCUGUACAACCUCUGGGUAAGAAAAAAAAAAAAAAAGUGGGAUGAAAUAAAAUCCUCUCGAAAAACAGAAACCCUUCAGCACGCAUAAUUGAUUUUAAUGAUAGCUUAGCGGCGUUUUUGGACUGAAAAAUCCAAAUCAACAGCUUAUGAGCUUCAGCAGAGCCGCAGCUAAAGCAGUCAGUGACUAAAGAGAAAUCCAACCAAGUUAUUCCAGGGAUUCACAGCAGCAGCAGCCUCACAUAUACAGUAACGCUUUAACAAAAAUGUUAAUGUCUUUUUAAAAAUGACCGCCACCAGCGUGUUCUGACCUCAAUUUGUGAUCGCCUGCCAAAACCGGUGGUUAAGAUUUGGGAUUAAUGUUGACCUACUUACUGGAUCAGAUUUUCAGAUUUGUCAGCAGAGAUACCUCACGGUGUUUAACCUGCUGCGAGUGAUAAAAAUCUGUGUGAUUUUAAAGAGAUAAAAUACACUAGAUGUCUCUAUUCUGCACCUCAACUACAGGCUCGUUUGAGUUCAGUCUGUUGUUGUUGGUUUGUGUUUUUUCUUUUUAAGGGAUAGAAAUACGACUUUUAUCACACAGAUCCUUCUUUGAUUAUUUUUGGACUUUUUCCCAGACAGCUGAAAAAAUAAGAGUGUGACAGGGUGUAGAUUGUGUGAAACAUGAAUAUGGCGCCCUUGACUUCACCCGUUUGUUUCCGCUGAAGCCUUCACCGCAAAAUGCUGACUCGGUUAAAUUUCUGGUUGACGUAGCAAAACGCAAAGAGGUGAAAAUGAGGUUUUUAUCAGUCUGUUGAUGGAGUCGAAUUAUGCAAAACUCUUAACCGUGAUAUCUCAUGAGAUACUGAUUCCUACCAAACUGCAAACACGUUUAUUUUGAUGAGCGUGCGUGUGCAACUUUUGCAGACUGCCUCAAGUGGACACUCGAGGAACUGCAGAUUUUUACACUUUUGCAUCUGCGCUUUGGAUCACUGGAGGUUGCAGCUUGAAUGACAUGCAGCAAAAGGUUUGCAGCUAGAAGUCAAACUGGCGACCUUUGCUACAACCAUGACUACAACUACGUUACAUGGGGAAGAUGCUUAAAGGGAUAUUCCGGUGUAAAAUUAGAGAGAGUAGGUGAGUUGUGUUUAGUCUCUUUGCUAAAGUUAAAAAGAUGUUUGGUGUCUAGUACUAUGGCUGUGACCCUACUAAAGUUGGUAAAACUAGAGAAGCAAGCGGUCGGCAACAUUCAACUCUGGAGGGGGUGUCUAACUCGGUGUUACGGUGUGUUUGACCCUAAAUUAAUUUUACGCCGGAGUAUCCCUUUGAAUCACCAAGCCAAGCCUGAAUUGGAGGACGUCUCUCUCGGUCCAGACUCAUAUCAGUUCGUAGAGCGAACACAGGAUGAUAGAGCUGACAGUAUAACAGCAUUUUUCUGCUCCAAUAAUGAGGAUGUACGAGUAAGAACCAUUUCCCAUCCACCAACUCCUCUGUGAGUUUGGUAAUCCUCCUGGAUGACUGGUCUUCACAUGUGUGGGUGUGUGGAGAGAGACAGACGGGACGUGACCGAGGCAGAGAGUCCUCAGAGUAAAGUGAGGGUGGAGCGUCAACUUAGAGUAGGAGGGAGGGAGCUGCAGCUGGAGAAAGGUCUGAUCCCUCUCUCUGUGCCCAUGAGUGCUCUCUUUACCGCUGCUGAAGCCCCCCGGUGGGUCCUCGCUCCUCGUCUUUGUCCCCGUCACUCCGGAGGACGGGGAUUGCUCGGGGACGAGACGAGGAUCCUCUUGGCCAUGUAGACGGCCAGCUACGUUGGAAUAAAUCUGUCCUGUAGCUGUGAGCAUUAUCUCCUGAGCUGUGAGCUGGCACACUGAGCUUCAGCUCAGGAAGGAUGAGGCCGAGCAGUCAGGAGAGAGGAGAGAGGAGAGGAAACCAGUGAAGGACAGAGCAGGUGAAAGUUUGACAGGAAGAGAGAUGAUCUGGUGUUUAUGUCUGGAGCCCUCCUGAUUGGUCAGUUUGGAUCCCUGUAAUAGUGUAUGUCGGACCUCUAACCUUUAACAUCACGGAUAUCUGUUGUUUUAUAGAUAUUUCUGAGUCUGUAUCAAAGUCCUGAUCCGUCAUCAUGCCCCCUUUAGUCCAGUAUAACAGGACUUUUCAAGGAGUCAAUUACCUCUGAUUUAAACCAGUGUUCAGAGGUUACCAUAGCAACAGUACCUGUGCUUCAUGCUAGAUUACCAGUUAUUCUUAUAAUGCCUUUCAUUGAUUGUCAGAGAACAUGCCCGGCUUGGCUUUCAGGUGCUUGUUACAGAGCAGCAGGGAGCUUUCUUUGUCUCCAGCUGUGCCACCGCACUCGUCCGGACCAUGAAAGGUGGAAAAAUCAGCUCACCUGCUCCGAGCUAACUGCUAAUUUGACGAGGAGAGUCUUUAACUUCAAUAUCGACCCCCAGAGGUGUUUGUCAUCUAUUGGCUGUUAAUAAUGUUUGCAUCAUUGAACAGCUGGAUCUGCAGAAGAGAAGAUGAAAGACCUGCAAUAAUAUUACACAGAUAUAGACCACAUUGGAUCAACAGUCGUGUUUACAGUCGUCCAAAAUUUCUUGAUCUGAUUAAAAAUUUGAGGGAUCAGAAAAUCUGAAUCCACUGUUUAUAUGAACACAAAGUCAAAUAAUCCGAUCAUGACGUGCGUUUAUAUGCAGCGGGAUUUAUUCAGAUUAGAAAGAUUUGGACAUGUGCAGAGUUGUCUGAUUUCACUGAAACAACCGCAGAAGAAGAAGAAGAAGAAGAGUUGUAUUUACGCCUGUGAUGUCAACAAACCAACAAACACAACAGUGACUCACUUCAUCCAAUUCAAGAGUUUUUCCUCCUGCUAAAUGUCGUCAGUAGAUGGCGACCUUGCAUACUUAUUUUACUGUUCUGUCAAAGGUUGCGCUGUGCAUGCAGAUGUGACAUCAUUACGCCAUUAUCGGAGGAGCAGACACGGCACAUAACCUCCUGUUCUGACCUCAAUAGUCUUGGUUCCGCCUUCCAUCAGUUUACGGAUUUGAAGACGAAAAGUUCUCGGUAAUUCUGCGUUUUUUCUCCACUUCCUGAAACCAACAUUGCGCAGUAGCACAGCUCCAUAGAGAUUGCUGGAGAAGGCAGGAUUUAUGACCUAUACUGCAUCCCGUCACCAGAGGGUGCUGUUCUCAGAGCGAGGAGGCAGACGGCAUUUAUUCUAUAUACAGUCUAUGGUGAAGACCGAGUCAGGUUAGAGAGUCAGGAUCCGAUUAAGUGUUUACAUGGAUGCGUUUAGGAAUAACGAUCGGCAUAAACCACCCCUCUUGAUCCAAAUACAAUUUCUUUCCGAUUAAGCCAAUUCAAUCAGUAUCUUCCGAUCGACAUAUUUACAUGACGCUUUUUUAUCUUAUUCUGAUUUUAUACUUUAUUCCGAUUAUUUGCGCCCAUGUAAACGCAGCUAGUGCUGAUCUAUAGCUGUACCAACAAGGACCUGUACGGGCAACUGCCGAGGAUCAGCAAGAAGGUCGCAUCGAGGAGGACGAGGCUGGCCGACCACCGCCAUAGACAUCAGGAGCUCCAGCAGGAUGGUCCUAUGGGAACCAACACAUCGGCACCGUUCACAAGGACGAUCAGCGCCAGGUGUAUGGAGAAUCAAGAGGAUUGUAGACUCAUCACUAAAAUGCAAAAGUUUGUGCAAACUUUUGUUGACGUCCACGUCUGCAAAUCUGGACUGAAGGAGCGGAGAUGAGAGCUCAAAAUAUAAGCGAAUUAAAUAGAUAAUGCAUUCUGUUUCUCGUCUGACAUUGUAUAAAAAAAGACAUUUAAUAAUUUAAUUUCCAAAAGUGAAUCAUUACUUUUUCACUCAACAUGUUAAAAUGAGUCACUACAACACUAUAAAGGCUGAGUGCUGAAGAAGGAGACCAGAAACGUGGAGGAAAGCCGACCGUAAAAGAGUGAAACAGAUUUUCCUUUCAGCUUUAUUGAACAGAAAAGUGCUGUUUUCUUAGGCAGACAGGGUCCAGACCCGUGCUGUAAGCUGCUUUAUUAGUUUGGUGCUCAUAAAUAAACCCGCCUCCAUCUUCACCAAUAACUGGGUGAUGUUCCCCGUUAUUUCAUCACGCCACAUUUUUGCCCCCUGAGUAAUAUUUAACGGGUUUAGCAGAUUGACAAGCGGGGAAGCCACAAAGAGUGCAAAGAGAAGAAAAGAGAGUGAUAGAAAAGGAGCCAGAGGUGGACGGAGAAACUGACAGAGACAGAUGUUUAGGGAGUGAAAGAGAGAGAGAGAGCGAUGAAUGAGUGAUGGGCUAAAUGAAAGGGACCGAGCGGCGGUUCGCUCCAAGACCUGCGGUUGUGGAUGUCGGUCCGGGCUUAGCGGCCUGCGGAUGAGAAUGAGCUGCAGGCGCUGAGAUGUGCUGCUAGCUUUGGCCGUCUGUCGCUGUAAAAAGAGGGCGCUGGCAAACGUCAGCGAAGAGCCCAGAACAAGCCCUGGCUCCGGGGACUGCUUACUCAUCCCUAUUUGGCACCAUCACACUGAAAAACUAAAAAAGUCUCCAACCCCCACACCUCUCACACUUCCAACAAACCCCGGUGGAAAAAACGACACUCUCAAGACUUUCUCACAGUGAAAAUCUCCCGUCAGAGACACCGAACUCCGAUCCAAAAGUAUUUUUUCUUGUUUUCCUCAGAGCGCCGUCACGAACAGAUCAACAGCCUGGAGAUGAUUAGGAGACAUUAGCGUGGAAAUCACGGUCAGAGGAGAUUAAACUGGAUUGAAACAGGAACCAAGUUUGAUCUUUUAAAGGACUUUUACUGACAAAUAACAGAGUGUGAUUGGAGUCAGACUCAGUUUGCAGAAAGCGUCACAAAGACCUAGUUAAGACCAGGUCUGUCCAACAGGACGCUAAUCAGCUCCAACCCCAGUCAUGCAAACUUAUGUAAACUCUUAGUCUAUAUUUCCUUAUUAACAAACGGGUUACUGAAAAUGAAUCGCCGUUAUAGUUUUCACAAACAAAUAAAUGAGCUCCAUACCUGAUAUCAGUUUUAAAACAGAGUCUGAAUGUGUUUUAUGGAGUCAUAAAAAAGGACAUUUUAAUAUGGGACCUUAUGGGGAUUCUUAGACUUUGGAGACAGCCUCUAGUGGUCGUUUGUGGAACUGCAGUUUUUUUGCACCUCCUCAUUUUCUCCAUAUCAACUCAUAUUUUGGUAAAUUACUUGAAUAAAUUGUAAAAAGAUUUGUGUGUAAACUAAAGUUAGUGAUUUACAAGUUCUGCUCUCGUUCAUCGUGUUUUAAACGCUGCUCAGAGAAAAGCUUUUCAGACACUCUGACCUUCAAUCUUGACUCUUUAUUUAAACCUCAUGUAAACAAACCAAAUGUUUUUCUUAUCUUCAUUUAAGUCAAACCAAAAAUCUUUUCCAGCCGAGGUGAGUGAGCGAGAGUAAAAACUGUCAGGUGGUAGAGUCGAACAAAAGGGGAAGGACACAAACGAAGAGGAAAAAAAGGAUUUAAAGGAAUAAAAACAAAAAGGAUUCACAAAUAAAAGAUUAUGAAGAACAGACAGACAUGUUCACACAUCGACAUAAAGUGAACCGACCAGAACAGAGGGGAAGACAGGAACUAAAUACAGACUCAGGUAAACGAGCAACAGGUGAGGCAGACGAGACACAGGUGAAACUGAUGAGUGAUUAAUGAAGGAGGGAAAACUGGGAAAGAAAAAACAGACUAGAAACACAAGGAAUCAACUCCUACAAAAUAAAACAGGAAACACAAUAAUUUAACUACUACAAAAUAAAACAGCAGACAAAAGGAAUCAACUACUACAAAAUAAAACAGGAAAAACAACAAACCAACUCCUACAAAAAAAAAAAAACAGAAUAAACAAGGAAUCAACUACUACAAAAUAAAACAGGAAAGACAAGGAAUCUACUACUACAAAAUAAAAGAAGAAAUAAACAAGGAAUAAACUUCUACAAAAUAAAACAGGAAACACAAAGAAUCAACUCUUUCAGUAUAAAACAGGAAACACAAGGAAUCGACUCCUCCUCCCCUGUGAAAUGAUGGUCGUAUUUGAGCUCCCCGCUCUCUUUCAGGACCACAAAAGAUGGAUCAUGUCUGAACCCGGACCCUCCUUUACGCCUCAGUUUUCAGUGAAUCACUUUUAUCCGAAGGGCGGGACCUCUGCGCCCGUAAAACAAUGGUCAUCAGCGGCGGAUAAACAGGAGGGCGUGGACUCUCAGAGCUGCACAAAGACUUCACUUCUGUCGGAUCUGUGAGUGACACCAUGUGAACAAGAAUCAAAAUCCCCUCUGUCAUUCAUCAGCCUCUCAGCGGUCUGCCGUUACCAUGACUCCUCCGCCGCUGCCGACGUGAGGAAGUUUUCUUUUGUUCUUCGCCACGACCUCCUCUCUCUGAGCCAGAACUUGGUACCACGCUGUGAUUGGUCAUUACUCCUUCAGUUUAAAGAGGAGCUGCGUCUCUGCUCUCUAAUUUAACCAGCUUGUAUCUUCACAGGUAAAAACGUUCUCACUUUGGCGUUGACGCAGCGUUUGUGGAACUCCACGCCAAGGCUCAAGGCUUCGCCGAGUCCCUGUUGGCUGAAUGUUAGCCGGCGUGCUGUGCGGCACAACCACUCAUGAGUGAAUGACAGCUUCUUGACAGCUUCAUUAAGACCGCAGAUGGCGAGGAAAGUGAAGAGAAGCAAGAGCGAAUGUAAGUGAGGGAGGCCGCGGGACCUUUGCACAGCUUGCGCGGCUGGACGGCGUCCAAGCAGCCUGUCUGGGUAACCCGUCCCCUCUCUCUGAAAUUUGGCUUGGGCUGAGAUCACGGAGCCCCUGCAGGUGAGACUCCAUGUCAUGGUGCCGUUGGGGGGUCAGGUCCAACAGCUCUGUCGCCCCUGGAGACGAGGACGGCAUGUAAAAAAAACGGACAUGUGUGGUCGUAUUAUAACUUGAGGAAAACACCGUCAGCUCAGCGCGGUGAAAUCAUCCGUCUUCUUCUUGGAUGAAUCAGUGGAAACAUGAAUCUGUCCACAAGUGUUUCUAAAGCUCACAUGCUCCAUCUGGUGUUUUUUUUAUUUUAUUUUAAUAUUUGACGUUUGCUUUCAAAGGAAUAACUCUGUCACUGAGUCAUUAUGCAUCGAUUCACAUGUUAGUCGAAGCUCCAUGGAGCUUUUAUGAAAACCAACCACAGAGGGGGAACCAAAUUGAUAAAUAUAGAACAUAAUGAGAUCCCUGUGGGAACCCGCAGAGGAGGGCGGUCAUUUGGAAACAGAAUUACUUAUGUUGGAUGAACUGUGGAUAAAACAUAUUGUCACUGGAAACAUAUUUGUUGGCUGCAAAACCAUGAUUAAAUUUAUGAUUUAUGGGGGUGUUAGAAACCGACAGUGAGCCAGCAGACAUUAGGACAAAACUUUCCUCUGACAAACUGUAAAUAUAAAAGAGAGAGUGACCUCUGAGGUCUAAUUAUGUCCUCUCAUUUUCUGUUUGUCAAAAGCAAUCAGUGCAAACGAGCAGGACGGCUCAUAAAGGAAGGAACGGGUGAAAACAGGACGGAAAUACACGGAUCAUGGGUUAGAAAUCACUCCUCUAUGUUGGGCUGUUUAACCAUGUAUUCCUGUACGAUGGUCGUCUUUUUACUGUCUUUCCUCUCAUUGUUAAAGACAUCUGGAGGAUUUGUGUCGGAUUGACGAAAAGCUGCAAAUAGAAACGCAGUAAAUUAUAUUAAAUCAAAAAUCACAAGCUAACCUGACAUAGUGGUGGGCACAGCAGUUCUAGAUCUACUGAAUCACUAGAAUCAGUUCGUUAAAAAGUUCAAAAGAUUUAAUCACUGGAUCAUUCAGCGUUUGGUGGGAGGGGCCUGCGACUUCCUGAACUGAUCAUAGUCUCCCUCCGUCGCUCCUGUCAAGAGCUACAGCUGGUGAGUCUCACCUCCAAUUUCCACCGCAUACGAAACGGCUCCGAUCCGGAAUGGCUGUGAUUUUUACUGGAUCACCGAAUCUGCCAAUUCUUACCAGAUCCAAUUCCAUGGUGGAUUACGGGCAGCGGGAAUCGCGAGAACUCACAAGAACCCGCAGAUUCAUGGGCAAUGAUGCGAUAAUGAGUUGUCUCUAUAAAGACAGACACAUAGACAUAUAAGCAGUAGAUUGUGUCCUUCCAGAGGAGGAAAUCUACUUCUAGACUUCUAGAAUCAGCAUCUCCUCAUCCAUGGUGUCAUCGGGGUGAAAUGACGUCUAAAAACCUUUCACUUGUUCGUCUCCGCCCGUUUGCAUGGUGUGAAAUACGAUCCUCCUGAAACACGGAGUGUUUUAUUUUGAAAAGAAGCCGGAUGUUUUAUUUUGUGUCUGUGCCCGACUUCCUUUCCAGCACGGGUUAAUCUGUGCUGAAUUUAUCCGCCAUGCUCCGGCGUCCAGAAAAAAUAAAACUCUUGUGAUCAGCUGAGGAGUCUGGCGAAAAUUGACACGUUAACGUGAACAGAAACGAUCAGCUACGAUUGACGGAUACGGCCUUCUCGCCGCUGUUCCGGAUGCGGUGGAAAUUGGGGGUCACUCUCUUCUCACUACUGCCAGCCUAACAUUUUAAGUUUGUUUAGUUGGGGACUAAAUCUGUUAAAACAAUGGGGAACAAUGGUCGCCAUGAAAGUUUAUCAUUCAGACAAAAAUGAUUCCAUAGAGAGUGUAGUUGACUGCGUGAUUUGUUAACCAAGUGAUUCAGGCGUCGGCACGUGUGGUCCCUCUAUCACCAGCUGCAUGCUAUGCUAUGAAGUGAGACACGAACAAAUCACUUGAGGAAAUGAUUCGGUUCAGUACGUCCACUUAAAAGAUUCGGUUCUUUUGAACGAAUCAUUGGCGAACAACACAAUGCCAAUCUGACAUGAAACCACUGUACAAUGAAACAGACAGAGCUGUAAUGAAGAGUUCAACCUGUUCAUCGUCUCUGAAGUUAACACCUCUGCCAAGGUUUGACUCACGCCUGCAGAGAGGAAGUGGGCACCUUCAUCUUCACCCAAACACACAUGAAAACAGAGAAACACACACACACACACACACACACACACACAUAGACCUUUUACACACAGGCGGCGCUGAAAUAACUCGUGUUGUGACCGUCAAACUCCGAGCAGAGUCUCCGGGUGCAGAUGAUAGAGUUGCCAAAGGAUCUGUCUGGACUUUCUGCUUACCACCUACACAGCAUAUGGUGCUGGCUGAUAACUGAAGCACAUAUUAAUAAGCCUGCAGCAUGUUAACGAGGGAAAAAAAAACAUGACCAGACGCACUAAUGAAUGUGUCCAACAGCAGCAGCAGCAGCAGGUGAAGGCAGAGCGCAGAGAAAUGUACGUGGGAGAGGAUUUAUCGUCCGUCUCUGAAUAACUGAAGACUCUCACAGAUUCACAGAGACACAGUCAGUCCCUGUUGUCUCCUUUGAAUCACUCGUCCUCAUAUUUGCUGGCCUGGCGUUGGAUGAGGCCUAAGGCCUGUCCACCGAGCGCCUCAUAAAACGUUGACCACAGCUGGCCUUGAGCUGACACCGAUCCUGAGCGAUUAGUGGUUAAACUGGGCCGUGGUCAACAUCUCCAACUGUGCUAUGAAUCCAUUUGCAGUUGUGUUUUAGAUUUUCUCGCACAUUUCACGGCCGGAGUCUCCAAUUAGACCCAGAAACGCAGGAGGAGGUUUUCUCACGUUUCCUGGUUUCCCACAUCAUCUCGUCUCUUCAUUUUGCAACAACAGAUCUGCUCUAACCUGCAAAGUAAUAAUAAUAAAAAUACACCAAACCUGACAGGACUUUUUAGGAGAUUUGAGUCCGACACGGAUUUCUCAAGAAGAUUUUACAAACGCUGCACACGUCGCAUGUUCACUAACAAGACGGCAUCUCGAUCCCUGCUGAGAUUUUCUCCAAUCAGAGUCCCGGAGGAAUUUUAAAGUGAAAAACAAACAGUGUGAGACAGAAGCAGAUGUGGUUAUUCAUGCAGUCACCCAAACGUUCAUCAUGAGUCCGACAACACUGUCUUUAAGUCUCCGUCCCAGUGUCUCAGCGACAGUGACUCAGCUGCUGCAGACGUCGAGGAGUGCGCCGCUUGAUUCCUCGUAACACGGGAAUGAAAAUAAAUGUCUGCAAGUGCAUACCAAGAGGUCCAGAGGUCGCUGAGGAAGUGCGCUGUCUUAUUAAAACAUGUAACCUUUGGCUUGUAACAUAUGUUGAAUUUUUACCACUUGGAUGUGUCGGACGGAAACAUCUGCUGUGAAUCUGAAUCCGUGUCCUGGAUGUCCUUGGACUUUUUCUGAUGCAUUCCCUCAUUUCACAGUCGACCCACCACACUGUCCUUCGAACACCCUCGGACAUCCACCAUCAUCAUCAUCCGCCCUCCUCCUCCUCCUCCUCCUUCUCCUCCUCCUUCCUUACCUGCAGGACCUGAGCUCAUUGUUUUUGCCCUGCUGAUUAACCUCUCCCCGCCGCAGGGCUCGUCUCACGUCGGGCUGUGGGUGGAUACGGGCUGUACCGGCACCAAAACACGGCCGGCUUUUUCUAAUGAGUUCCAGCCGCUCAGGGCUGCAGGAGAGUCAGCCUGCUGUGAUUGGCACCUGUUUAGGAGGACAGUGUGUCUGUGAGAAAGCAGAGUUUAGCUGUGGGAACACCGAGUCCAUCCCACUGCAAUCAACAAGAGGAGAGCGAGGUCAAAUCGGACGAAGUCGGAGGAAACUGUGGUUUGUUUUGAUAUACAAACACUCCAAGGUAACUCUCCGUAGUUUAGCUGUCAUGCCAUGAAAUCUUAACUGGGUAAUUAAUGUACGCUAACGGCUAAAUUCCACAGGAUAGGGAACGUCUGCGCUCUGCCCCAGAACGGUAACCUGAUCAAAUAUGCAAGCAUUAUAAUAAAUGAACAUGAUUCCACACAAUGCGCCCGCUGUCCGGCUCUGCUGUGGAUCCGCUCCGGUGGUCGGAUCAGAAACGCAAGGCUUCUAUUUAUGCCGGACGCCGCAGCACAAUGCAUCAAUUCAAGGCAGCAGAAGUUGUAUGCGGCAAUAUCCGGUUACUUUUCAGAAUAAAAUAGAGUCAAUACAUUGAACUGUUCUUCACAUGAUAAUGGGAGGGGCCAGAGUUGUUGGAUGUGGGUGUUUAUAUACACCCCGGAUCUCAUUCAAUGUCUCCCGAUGAAACAUGUCAGAUCUUGUCCAGUCUCACGAGAAAUAUCGGUAACAUCGCAAGCGCUUCUCCUCCGCUGGUGGCAGCGGAUCGGAUCUGGUAGGCACUGUUAUGGUAGCGUUUUUGAUCCGCCUGACGUUCCGGAGCGUAGUGGAUCUGCAUGCGGUGGAAUCUCGGUGUAAGUGUUGUACCUGCGUGCAAACCUGUUGUAUCGUAUGUCUUCAUGCCCUGGAGUUUUUGAUCUUUACUCCAAGUUUGACAUGCAUGUAGAAAAGUUCAUAAAUGCUAUAAUUCUGGUGCGUGAAAAUCCUCCUCAUGCAAAACACAAACAAAGGCUGUUUCAGAGGAGUGCAGGUCCGCACUCGGACUGACCCCUACCCCCCACCACCAGUGGAUCCAGACUGUAAAAAUAGUCCGUCUCUAUGUUCAUGGUCUGGUUAGCUUUUAAGCCUCAUGCAGAAACAUCAGCGUUAGUUUCAGUCCGUUUUGUAACCUCUUAAAAACUCUUCAGCAUAACUAAGACGAUGUAUGUGACAGCGGGGGCGAACAAAACACAAAGAACUUGUUUUGAGCGUUUUCCAUUUCCUCAAACUCGGUGUGAUUCCAGCUCGGAAAAGAGCAACUGGGUUUCAUCCUUAACCUUUAACUUUGACGUUGAAUCGGAGCAGAGAUCCUGUAAGAAACACAGACUUUUAAAGUCAAUAAUUCCUGCUGAGUGCGGUUGUGUCGGGGGCCUGUCUGUCUCUCGGUUUUUUCCUCGCCGUGGUCAGGCAGCUGUUCUGGGGCAGACGGGUGUAACAACAGCAUGUCUGCUUUGUUUUGGGAAAUGAGGCACGGGUUCACGCCGAUGGCCCCGUGCAGCAGCAGCAGCAGCAGCAGCAGCAGCAGCUUGCGGCCCGUGCCAGGCUCUCAGGUUAGACGUGUCCGCCUGCUGCCUGUUCACCCUGACAGGACCUCCCCCAGCAGGACUGAUGCUGCACAUAAUGGGAAAUCAAUUCUAUUUUUGUUGCCUGGGUAGGUGGGCUUAAGGAAUAAUUACUCAGUCAAGAAGUGGGAGACAGGGGGGAGAGAGGGAGUCUGUCCUCACAGCUUAUCCACCGUGGUCUUCCUGCUUCCUUGCUGAUGUGAAACCAAUACCAUUAUCCAGUUAAAUCCUCCAUGGACCGCUCCGGCUCUGUAAGAAAAACAGCAGUGAGCGGCUCGCCAUCGACGUGUGGAGCUCCUUAAUGAGAUUCCUCGGGGUGCAUUCGGCGAAUGGCGGGAUGUCAUGAUUCUUUUAGUGCGGAUUCUUUCUGUCCUGCUCCUGGGUCUGCAGGGAGGAAACAAAUGAUUACACACUUAGAGACCCCGGUGCUCUUACCAGGACACUUCAUUUGUAUCCGUCAGAGCCCCAAACCCCCCACAGACAGAGAGACAAUGGGCUGAUACACAGAUAUGCAGACGGACAGACAGACAGGUGGACUUAAGAGUUCAGUGAUCCCCCCCCUCAGCUGGACUACAACUGGUCCAAGUCUGGAUUCAUUUGUUGCUAGGAAACAGGUAAACAAACCAAAGCAGAAGAGAGGAUCUAAAAACAGAGAAAGCUAUUGUUUCCCAUGAGAUGUCAAGUGUUCAACCCGUUAGCCUCUUGCUAACAGGUUUGUUUGAUUGUUUUGGUACAGGACAUAAAGGGUCAGCGAGCGGUCAACAAGCUGACGCCAGCAAGAUGACCUUAAGACCUUGACCUCCAAUUUCCACCGCAUCCUGAACGGCUCAGAUCCGGAACGGUCGCAAUUUCCACCGUCCACCAAUUCCUACUGGAUCCAUUUGUGAGGCGAAUUUCGUGGCGGAUUACGGAAUCGCGAGAACUCACAAGAACCCGCAGAUUCACAUGCAAUCGCACGAGGAAAUCUACUUCUAGACUUCUAGAAUCAUCAUCUCCUCAUCCAUGGUGUCAUCGGGGUGAAAUGACGUCUAAAAACCUCCGCCCGUUUGCAUGUUUGCAAUGUUUACGAUCAGCUACAAUCGAUGGAUACGACCUUUUCAUGGACGUUACGGAUGUGGUGGAAAUUGGGGAUAAGAGGAGGUCCAUCCAGUCAUCGGGCUCUGAAUCCCUCUGAACUCAGUGACUUUUUUUCAUCCAGAUGAGAUACAGAUGCUGGAUCAGUACAUAAUGCUUUGUUGCCAUGUCAACCAUCCAGUCACUGAACUCUAAAAGGACAAAAAGGUGAUACUGGCUUGAAAUCCUGUGACCGUCUUUCUCACCCCUAACUCCUCCUGUCCGGUCCAGACCUCCCCUCCUCUGCUCUCCCACUCCUCCCCUUUCUCCCAGACUGCCUGCAUCACAGCAGGCCUGAGCAUCCUUUGUGAAAAGUGUGAAAAAAACACAAUGAAGGUUUAAAAUGACUGAGCUCGGGGUUGAAAUCUGGAUGCAUCUUUCCCCAACCCAAUUAACACGGAGUCAAUAGAGAGCAAAUUAAAAAGGCCCCGGGCGCCGGACCUCGCCAGAAAAUGCCAACGGAAUCAAGACGGUCAAGGCCGGCACAAAGGCACAAGCCCCCUGGAUCGGACCAAUCCUCCUGAGCCGCCCUGAUUAAAGCACGGGGAGAUUAUUUAGGACCUCUUCUUUCACGGGGAGGCUAAAUGAGGGGAGAGGGUAUCCAUUCAAGCGGGGCAAAGGGUUGGGAAAAAUGGCCGACUCCGGGUUGGUAACCAUUGAGGCUGCUCACUGAGGUGUGAACGUCCCACCUCCCAAAGACAACAUCCACAGUGGGAAAAAAUCUCAAUGAAAAUGGAAGACAACUGUGGUUCAAGACAAACAUUGGGGAGAAGCAGACUGUCCCAACAUGUUCCCACUCCCAACCGGACAAAGAGAGACGCUUAGACGGUUUAAAGACUUUGAUCCUGCAGGGAUCCACGGUUCGGUUACUGAUAACACAACACUUAACAUUCAUAAAGACCUGAUUUGACUUCUCUUUAGUUUUUAUUCCAGUAUAUUUCUGCAUCCAACCCGAACAGAAAACUGUAGUUAUGACUCAUACAGAUAUCAUUUAAAUAAAUAAAACAGUGUGCAUGCAUUUACUCUGUAGUUUUGUGUUGCUAACUUGUGCAAAAUCACCCUUUUUUCAUGAACAGUAUACAACUUCAACAACAACAUCAGAACUACAAAUUUCACCCAAACACGCCCCCCUCCCAGAACAAACCCCAUAUGCCAACGCUUACCUACGUCACUAAAAAAAUAUAUAAAUAAAACUAAAUAAAUAAAAUAAAAUAAAUAAUAAUAAUUAUAAUAAAAAUAAUUAUAAUAUUAGUAAUGACAUAUAAAAGAAAAUUCAAAUAUAAAUAAAUAAAAACAUACAUUAAAAUAAAAUAAUAAUAAUAUUAAUAAUAAUAUAUAUAACAGAAAAUACAAAUGUAAAUAAAUAAAAAUAUUAAAUACUACUACUAAUUAUAAUAAUAAUAAUAAUAAUAAUAAUAAUAAUAAUAAUAAUAAUAAUAAUAAUAAUAAUAAUUAAUUAAUUAAUUAAUUAAUUAAUUAAAUAAAAAAAAUAAAAAAUGAAAAAAAUAAAUAAAAGUUACAGCAAAAUACACGCAGCAAAGGAUCAAGACAUUGUCAAUAGAAAAGCUCAGCUACUCCUGCAGAUGUGCAACAACCUACCACCACAACAACAUUGAUGGUACUCAUCUAGUUAUCUGUGAAAUGUUAUCCAGAUAUAUUUUAAAGUCACUCCAGCAUUUGUCAAAAAGAGCAAAAUCACUUCCUCAUGUUGGGGUCCAGCCCAAGUCUCAUAGCUGAUAUACUUUAGAGGCCCCAGUCUGGACCAGGACUCAAACCAGGAACCAUCUUGUUUUAGGCAACAUUUCACCACCCUGAAUGCUGGAGGAGAGAUUAAAUUAAGGGUCAGAGUGACUAAUCGGCCAUAUUUGAUCAUCUGGGUCUCUUGUUGUCAUGUUUAGACGCAGCUUUCUUUAUUCUAACUGUAAUAACUCAAUCAUAUUUUGCACUCAGCAGAUGAGCUGGAUUUAUUCUAAUACAUUUUUGUGUACAUGUCCCCGUGGAAAAUAUGCCGGAUCCUGAUGGCGGUAAUCCCGCUCAUCUGUUCCUGUGUGCUCAUUAUGCUAAGAAUCAUUUUCAAAUACCACACGAGUCCGGAGCAAGCAGCCAGGUUCCUGUUAAUGGAUUCUUGACCUUUAUAUGGAGAGUUAUACAGGGAGAGUCUGAUUCUCAGAGGCCGAGUGAAUAUCUCACUAUCCUCUUUCUUACUACCCUCAUAAUUAGGUCCCUUCACUCGUCUAACCACCUACAUCGUGUGACUCCCCCUCGUCCAAUUUAGUCACAGCAUGUCAGACUGGAGGUUAGAAAUCCCCCGUCCCGUCACAGGACCUCUGGUAGAUGAUCCGCCCUCAUUUGAGCCAUAGAGCCCUGUGGAGACACCUUUCAGUGGGCAAAGCUUUCUCCUGGCAAGAUGUGAAGCAGCGAGGGAGCUAAACUAAUUACAGCCGGUCCUGUCUCCUGCUCCGUCUAAGCCGGGGGUUUACCCGGCACAAUGGGGCCUUUAGCUGAGUGCCUCUCCUCUUUUAGCUCCACGGUUUGGAAGCACAUGGGUCCACAAAAGGACUUCCAUUAGUGUAAUUAGAGGUAAAAUGAAGUGCAGUUUUGGCCUAAGUUGUUUGGCGUGUUAUUCGUCUGUCUUUUCUGUGUCAUAGAGGGACCUCUGGAUUCUCCGAGUGCUUCUGUGGAGCACUCGGGCGAUAAUGAAAUGUACCCAAGCCUGGGGAGCUGUGUACGCUGAGGGCUCUCAUACUGUUUGUUUUCCCUUUUGUGUGUCGAUGCGAGAAGAAAAUAAGUUCAUCUUAUCUCCAUGGCAACCGGCUCAGAGUGAUUUGUGAGGGAGAAAUUAUACCUUAAAAAAUGUCCUCCUGAACCUUCGCUCUGGGUGAGGUUUAAAAACAUGAAGCCUCUCGACCGUAGAGUCGGGGCUUAGCUUUGAUAUUAAAGUUUGUAUUUGACAAAAAAAACGUCUGAGCCGAGUCCGAACACCGGAGCUGGAGUCGAUAUUAAUGGAUAGAAAGUUUAGAAAGUUCGGAAAGUUGUUGGCUUAUAUCUCAACAGUCAAUGAUGAGGAAGCAGCAGCCUCACCCCCAAUUUCCACCGCAUCGGGAACGGCUACGAAAAGGACGUAUUUGCUGAUCGUAACCAUUCAAGUUAACGUGUCAGUUUCUACUGGCUUCUUGAAUUAUUUCCAGGCCACGGUGAUUCACCAUAAAGCAGACAAUGAAUCCACUCUGACAGCGCUCUCCCAGUCUGAGCGGACUGUGAGCCUUUAUUCUGAGAGCGUCAUCACAAAUCAGGGUUCGAAGCUGCAAAUGAUGACUUUGAGAAGAAUCAUUAGGAAGGAGGGAGGUGAAAGUUAACUCAACAUCCCAUCCUGCAUUUUAGAGUUUGGCAUAAAGAUUCGAAAACACGUCUGAGGCCAAAACUAACACCUCGGGGUUUAGCAUGUUCUGGAACGUCAUGUGUGGUUGUCACAGAUGAGCUGGCUUCAUGUUCUCAGAGACCGGACCGUUGGUGUGAUACCCGCCGAAUGAAGGACUUUUACUCUACUCCUAAAAACUGAGGAUGCAGCAUCUAUGAUUUCCAGUUCUUCAUUGAAAGAACAACCGGACUGACUUAAGACGUUUCACCUAACCCCCAAUUUCCACUGCAUCUGAUCGUCUCCUAAAAGGUCGUAUCCUCCGAUCGUAGCUGAUCGUAACCAUUCAAGUUAACGUGUCAAUUUACACCGACUUCUUUCUGUUCCUCUGCGGAUCGCCGGACUCCUCAGCUGAUCACAAGAGUUCUAUUUUUUCCGGAUGCCGGAGCAUGGCAGAUAAAUUCAGCACAGAUUAACCGGUGCUGGAAAGGAAGUCGGGCACAGACACAAAAUAAAACAUCCGGCUUCUUUUCAAAAUAAGAGAUGGAGACGAACAAGUGAAAGGUUUUUAGACGUCAUUUCACCCCGAUGACACCAUGGAUGAGGAGAUGCUGAUUACUCCUCUGGAAGGUCACAAUCUAUAUGUCUAUGUGUCUGUCUUUACAGAGACGACUCAUUAUGGCGCGAUUGCACGUGAAUCCGCGGGUUUUUGUGAGUUCUCAUGAUUGAAAUUCGACUCACAAAUGGAUCUGGAAUUGGUACUGCAAAAAUUGCCGGCAUUCCACAUUCGAGUGGUUCCGGAUGCGGUGGAAAUACAGGGUCACUGCAACGCAUCUAUGCUAUUUGACCAGUGCGCAAAAACUGGAGCAUGUGCAGAACGCUUCGGCCAGGUUCAGUCCAACGAACCUGUAAACAUGAUGGAGACAAUCGUUCCUCACCUGCAUUAUCAAGGUAUGUCUGUCCGACUAUGAGAAAUUUGAUUUAGUGCGAUCGAGGUCAGACAGAUUGAUGAGGCAGCUAAAGUCCUGUCACCUCUGGUCUUUAUUCUGGACUUUGGAAAGGGGACCCCACACUGGCUACUGGUCAGGGUGCAGUAAGAAGGUGGUUCGUUUUGUGACCCAAACUGGUCUUGAUCACAAACUGCAGAACCUGUAUCUUGACUCUGCAGACCUCUCUCGGUGUUUAAGCUGCAGGUCUUUACAGCAUUAACUUAAUGGUGGAGCUCAAUACUGAGUAACCCGAGUUACCCCCACCCUGGAGACCUGACCUGGGCUGAGUGAUGGCCCCCCUCCAAACACUGACCUUGGCCUGGGUGCACAGCGGACGGAUGGUGGAGCUCACGACCUGCAGGUGUGAAAAGACGCCGCCUGUAGGGGAUUCGGGGGCGCUUGAGACCCUCCCUGUUUCUGUAUCGAGUUACUGAUGGAGGUGCUGCUGUCAAACAUGUUUACAUUCAGUUAAGACUUGGUGACCUGUCAGGGCUAAAGAGCAUUUCUACUGCUGCGGAGGUGGAAACAUUAAAAACUGAGGACGGUUUUACUUUGGUGUCAAAUCUACCGGAAAAGAAAGAGUCGGACACAGGAGCGGGUAAAAUUAAUGCUGCACAUCUGUUAAAAAGCUAUCUAAGCUCUGCAAACAUGCUAAAUGUUGAGUUCACACAGAUUUUUAGAGAUAUGAAGCUUUUGCAGAUGCUUUACCCUCAAUACCUUUAUUUAUCCCACAGUGUGGUCCUGUUGUAAUAGAAUAAAUUAAUCAGCCGCUUUAAAGGAAACAGAAAAAAAAAAAACAGUUUGUCCGCUUACAGGUGCCAGUCCCCGUCAGUGAAAGACUGUUUUUCAGCAGUUUCAGUGUGUUUUGGAUCGCCUGCCUGUAAAUAAACCACAUGACGACGACGACGGGAGUGCAAUGCUGUUUCCAUAGCAACAGGUAGCAAACCAAAGUCAGUCAAGCGAGUGUUUGAGCGACAAUUACGGCGUCUGUUAGAGCAUCAAAGACCUUCAUGAGAGCGUCCCCGUCACCCUGACAGGCCGCCGCUUUGGUCCUCGCUCCUCUUAAAAGGAAGGUGGAAAAUGUCUGAGGACUCAAAAACAGGAUUUCAAUUUUCCAGCCUCGCUCUCCUCUAAUUGCAUUUCUUCUUACGAGCAGCAUUAGUGCCUUUUAACUUGAAAACCUCAGUGUGAGUUUUUUUCUUUAUCUUCUUCUCUUUGUUGUUUUUUUAAAUUAAUUAGCAGACCUUCAUCGUCACGCAGCGAGGUUGGAGGAGCUCGGCGGUCUAUUAAUCCAUCCAUGACAUUAAUUCUCUCGCUCCCCUCUGCCCUCAGAGCCCAAUCCACUUCAUUAGCCCGUCCUCACUCGGAGCACCCAGAGAAAUAUGUUUCAGGGAGAUUUGUUGACAAGUUUGGAGACGCUCGGUUAUUUCUGUGGGUUUUAGCGACCCUCUGAGUCUCUACUCUCUGCAGCUUCUCGUCGUAUCUGCGGUGAUUGUCUGGAGGCUCUGCACUGAUUCCAAUAACUGAUGUAAAAGAGACUCGGCUGGAGCAGAACACAACAAAAGAAUCAUUUGACUCGUCACCUCUGGGCGCCGCAGGACGACAGGUAAUUUCACAGAGUAUUUACCAGAUAAACCUGUGUUGUUUUACUGAGCGCAUUAUCAACAGACGCCUCCGCGCCGCAAUCUCUUCUCGGUGUAAAUUACACUGUCCAAUCUGUGAGUAUCUGCAUUCAUCUGAGAGAGUUUGGGGAAUUCAGCCCAGAUUAGAGUUUGGAGAAACGAUUCCUGCUCCUGGCAAUCGUGGGACACGGCUCGUUAGCAUGUUAAAAAUGAUGCUGACAUGUUGCUAAAACCUUCAUUUAUUCAGACAAUAACAAAGUUGAAUAUUAGUCGAUUAUGUGAACCAACAGAAGGGGAUGUGUAGACGUCUGUGUCACGACUGCAGAUCCAAAUAGAAAAACACAGAUGAAAACACAAAGCACUGAGUGACUUUAGAGUCCAAUUUUGUGAAGAUGCAGAGAAACCGGUUUUCAGAAAUAUCCACGUAUGUGCGGACAGGGCCAAGGACGCCAGUGUGGGAUUCAUGAGGACACCUGUCUGCACCCUCGCUUAUGAAGAGGUUUCCAGUCCUACCCCCAAUUUCCACCAUCUACUGGAACGUCUACCAAAAGGUCGUAUCCUCCGAUCGUAGCUGAUCGUAACCAUUCGAGUUAACGUGUCAAUUUACACCGACUUCUUUCCGUUCCUCUGCGGAUCGCCGGACUCCUCAGCUGAUCACAAGAGUUCUAUUUUUUGCUGGAAAGGAAGUCGGGCACAGACACAAAAUAAAACAUCCGGCUUCUUUUCAAAAUAAAACACUCCGUGUUUCAGGAGGAUCGUAUUUCACACCAUGCAAACGGGCGGAGACGAACAAGUGAAAGGUUUUUAGACGUCAUUUCACCCCAAUGACACCAUGGAUGAGGAGAUGCUGAUUCUAGAAGUCUAGAAGUAGAUUUCCUCCUCUGGAAGGACACAAUCUACUGCUUAUAUGUCUAUGUGUCUGUCUUUAUAGGGACAACUUGUUAUCAUGUGGUUGCACAUGAAUCCGCUGGUUCUUGUGAUUCCUGGUGUCCGUAAUACGCCACAAAAUUCGCCUCACAAACGGAUCCCGUAGGAAUUGGCGUUCCAGAUGCGGUGGAAAUCCCGGGUUAAAGAUGAUUAUUUUCCUCCCAAAUUGUCAAUCACUGCACAGUGUGAAAAGUAAAAGAAAUCGAUGUUGUUUAUUUUUGGUUUAUUUUUGAGAUUUUUUUAAGCGAUUACUAAAACCUCGUCUUCCUCACCUGAGGAGAAACAUGACGUCUUCAUGACGGCCUCUGUCACCCGUGCUCCUCACAUUUGUCUGAGGCCUCCUCCCAACAUCCCCCUUCGGUCUGAGCUCACUUUGUUCCUGAGGAAACAGGUGAUGAGUGAACAGGCUGGAUGAGGAGGAGGAGGAGGAGAUGACGACAAGGUCCCCAGACACGUUUUUAAUCAGACCUCCUCCUCUGGGACCAAACUUCUCGGAGACUCAGAUCUACACCUCUAGAGCCGCCCACCCCUCUGGACCCCGGCGCUGACGGACGUCCAGGUGGUGGACCGCUGGGGGAGAAAAGGCCCCGCAGCAGAUGGACGAAGGACCCUGAAGCCGUCAGAGGGAGUGUGAGACGCAGCACAGCUGACGGGGGGCGAAUGAGGCUGUCAUCAACGCCGUUACAGCCAAAUAUGGACGCCUGCUCCUCCGUGUUAAUGACUGUCCAUGAGAGUUAGAGUGAAAAGUCAAGAAGCGCUCUUAUUUCAGUCGCUCAAAUCUGUUUUUAAAGGGACAUUUCAGCAUUUUAGAGCGAUGUAUGAGUCACACGUCACUAAUGAAGGUUUUAACAGCAGUGGAUAUCAGUCGGCUUUGAUGGGACACUGUUGGGAGGAACCGCGUGCAAGCUAGGCUACACCACCUCCACCUGCAGCAGGACCAGCUAACCAGGUCACUGAUGUGUAACCCCUGUCCCAUGAGAAGUAAUAGGGCUGUUGUUGUUUAGUGGGACGGGGCCCGAGUUCGUCUGGCACUACCUGUGAUGACAGUAUAUAAAAUAUUGUGGUGGUAAAAAGUAAACACUAAAGGUGGUACUUUCCCUUUAAAAGUCACUUAAACCUGUUUAUAUUGAUCCAAAAUAUAUAUAAAUAUAAAUAUAUAUUUUUAGUUUUUAGUGCUGCUUUUAUACUUGCACUAUACUGGGGCAGCUGUAGACCCUUUCAACAGUUUAUUUUUUUAAUAUUGACAUUUGUAUUGAGUGACAUGACUGCCACUUGUUUCACAGAAAGCAAACAGUUUGUUAUUCUCCAGUGCAGAGCCUUUACUUUGAUUUAUACAGCCGCUUUAUUUCAUUUGAGUUUAUUUAUUCAAAGUUUUCAAAAAUUUGUUGAAGGUUCAGAAAAAUUAAAGAUAUUUAUCUUUGAAGCCACAUGUGUAAGCUCUCAAAUACUUCUUGAAUGUUGUUUCUAUCUGCUACAAACGCUGAGAUAUCAGCUUAUUUAUAAACCUCAGGAUCUGGGGGCCCUUCUCAAAGUGGCCCUCAGGGUUUCAGAGUCUCAGACUGGGUUCAGGUCUUAGUGGGUUAAAUCAGCAUAAACAAAAAAGGCAUGUGCAAAGUGUUAAUUGUACUCACGAAUCCACACAGUCAGAGAUGAAGAUGGGAAAAAGGAGCAGAUGUGCAGUUUCAGCGGUUAGUGAAUGGAGCGUACAGCAACACGGGGCGGCAAACUGCGCUGAAGUCCAGCACGGUCCAGGUCGGUCCUCACUCUCUCUUCCUCUGAUGGAAAAUGUCUGCUCCUAAAUCACACAAUCACUCUUAGUAAAUAAGUUACAGGCUCAUUCAUGGCAAAAGAAAAACCCAGAAUGUCUCACAAAUUAGCAAUAGCUAACGACAACGCAGAAUAAACAGUGAAAGCCUAUGGUGAGGCUAAGCUAAAGGCUAGCAGUGAUUAGUGAUUCAGUUAGCUUUUUACGCAUUACAAAUUAACCACAGUACCGAGCAAAUCAAUACACAUGAAUUUACCUCUGACAGAUUCCCAGAGUUCACUCACAUCAGCCACAGGAAGUUAGGAGUGUUUCACUUUUACAGCUUAGAGACUUCCUGCUCUCAUGAGGAGAAAACUUCUUCUUCUUCAAUGGAAUUUAUUGGCAGUUGGCAAACCAACUUGAAGGUGCAUUACUGCUACCUACUGGUCUGGAGUGUGGAACAGUAAUUUGGUAGACAAAAACCUAAAUAAGGAAAUUAGAUCCCUGUAUUUUUCAAAUAUGCCAUUAAAUGCUUCAGUGUAACUUCUGACUCUGCUCCGAGCAGGUUCCCCAUAUUAAGUUCCAUCCUGACUUCCUCUGCUGCUGCUGUCUGUGUCCUUCUUUCCUCCUCAUAUCCUCCACAAUCCAACAACACAUGCUGGACAAUCUCUUUUCUUCCUCUUUUGAUUUCACCUCUUUUAUUCUGCUGUUUGACAUUUAUUCUUGUCGACCUUUGGUGUGAAAUCUUCACUUUUUCAGAGUGACCAAACAUCCUCUUUUACCCGGACAUGUCCUCAUUUUGGGGGGCUGUCCGGCCUUGUCCGGGGGAGUUUAUAAAAUCCUUCAGAUGUCCGAGGUUUUGUUUGGAAGUUUUGAGUUUGUGUAGCGUGGAUGAACUAACUAACUAACUAAAUUUGCUACACAUGACUCCUGACUAGUCGUGUCCUCUUUUUAGAGAUACAGAAUAUGGUCACCCUAACUUUUUAAAAGGUGCUAAAUACAUAAAAUUAUUAUUACUGUUGUGAGGGUAGAGGACAUGACUGUAACUCUGACCUGUUUGGUGGAUUCAGGACAAAAAUAUUAACACUUGUUGGGAGUUAGCGGGUUGUUUUAGCAUCAAUUUAUACACUAAUAUAUUUAUUUUGUCUCGCCUCUGAGUUAAGAGAAACAUGCAUUUAAACCCUGAAUGUGUUUCUUCUUUAUAAACUAAAACCUCCUCAUUCAGACUCUCAUCCAUCAUUAAAAAAAACGUCAUAAACAACAGGAAACAAUUGUCCUUUAGUUUGAACCUCUGCAGCCGCCGACCGUCUGUGAACCUGGUCUGUGGCGGAGAAAUGUCGUUAUUGUCAGAGUCUAUUAGACCUGACUUCCACUGAUGUUUAGCAUCCAUUUGUGCUCUGAAUACUGUCGUUUUUAAUAAGCUUGCUGGGAAGCAUAAGAAGAAAAUGUACAAUGAUAAGUUAAUUAAAUUUGAAACAUUACAGAUCGUAAUCAUCGACUCGGGAAAAAACUAAACAGUCAUUUUCUGUCCAUGCCCACUUAGACAGAAAGAGGGAAACGCGUGUAUUUCAAUUACUUGAAAGGUUCAUCUUCCCGAGGUUCAAAGGGAAAAGCUGAGGCAUUUUAAAUUAGACAUGGGGCCUUCUACUUCUUGACUAGUUUUAUCAGUAAUUACAUUACUCAUCUCCAAAUCACACCCUCAUCAUGCUUAAUCGAGCAAAAAUUGGACACAGAAGAAAAAUAAUGACGGCGCCCUUUUCCAUCAAAGAAAUCCAUUUAUAAAAACAGCAGACAUGUUCGUGGUUUUCCCCUCUGCCGGCUGAGAACAGUUCAGACUUUUUUUUUCCAUCCAAGGACACUCGCUCGCUCAUUUCUCUGCAGACUGAACUCCUGUGAAGAUGUGAGGGGACGUUUUUUCUUUUGUGGCCACCCACAGGUACACUGUCCGACUCUUAAUAGCAUCAAUGAAAUAUUAAAGACCGGAGUUACUUUUAAUGAACUUCUUUGAGGCUUUACUGUCUGAUCACUUUAUCCCAUAUUAAUAGUUUUAAUAACUUUAAAAGAGAAAUGUGUCCUGAUCCAGGAAGAGUUCAUUUAAUUAUGCUUUUGACUGAAAGUGUCUGGAGAUGAUGAUACUCAGAAACAGCACCAGACUCUGGAGGGGGAAUCGUCGCAUCCAGUUGUCCUUUCAACAAAGAACGGGAAAUCAUAGAUGCUGCAUCCUCAGUUUUAAAGGGUCAUGGCAGUUUUCCCAUAGUUUUCUUUUCAGACAAUGCUUUUAUUUUGAAGGAUCACCCAGGUCAAGAAGAAACUUGCAAAGAUCUUCAAAGAAGUUGUUGCAAUCACGUUGACUUCGGGUAAUCUACAUCAGCAAUUAAAGGUGGCGUAGGCAGGAAUCCGUUAAAGAUGCAUCUUUUUUUGUGGUGUAUUUAAUAUCAGUCAAUAGUUAUUACUUAUUGAUGACAUUUGGUAAUAUAUCGAUAUCUCUGUGUUCUCUCUCUGACUGUAAACAAAGCCGUUCUCCACCUCCUCUAACCUGAUUGGUUGUGAGGCAGACGCUGCUCCCCCGUGUCGUUCAGGAGCCCAAACAAAGUUAGCGUGCUACAAUAUCGGACAGUAGAAACCAACCAGAAAGUUCGGAAAAUUGUCUGAAUCCUCCUUUGGCCACGACUGCCGACACAAGCAAGAAAACAAAGUAAAUACCGGAGACUCUGGAGGAAUAACGGGCGCUUAAAACGGAGGUAGACCGGACAAGAGCUAAAAAGCCGGGUCAACAUAAACGAUGGGGGACGCUUGGGGAUCUUGGUGACCCUGUAACCUUUCUGCUGGACAGGUAAACCGCUUUAACAAAGUAAGACAAGUGUCUGUAACAGAAGUGUUUCUUGUCAAACGGACCUGCUGUAGCGUGUUGUAGCGCCAUCGCUAAACUGUCCUCCCUCGGGUCCUGGACUAUGUCACUUUAUCCUCGUUGUAGAAGUCCUGCAAACAUUGUGUUUGCUGGUAGUCUGUUGGCAUCUACAGUAGCACCAAUGCUUUUGACUUUCACCUUGACUGGGCCCCAUUUGUAAUGAUCUGAAGUAUUUAUCUGCAUUAUAUCUGAAUUUAAUUGGAACGAUACGAGCGAGCAGGAGCGUCUGUUUGUCUUCCUUGGCGACCGUCUUUGUUCUCCUCUCUUUGCUCAGCUUGAGUACCUGAAAAAACCCCAAAAGGUUCGCUAACAUGCGUCAAAAUCUACAUAAUUUUACCGAUCAAAUAACAGCAGAUAUAACGCCAUCCAAUUUCCCGUCUUCAGGGGUCAGAUAAGUACACUUGGUAUCCCAACAGAAGGGUCCAAAAACAGUCAUACGGUUCCUUUCCAAACAUUUUAAAGUUAAAAUAAAUAUAUUUAUAUGUAAUGAGAUUUUCCUGGAGUUACUGCAUCAAACAAGUGUUUCUGUUCAGGUUAUAACUUGUGUUUUAUAAUGUUGGCAUCUGCGCUGGGACAGGAGCAGCAGCCUCUCGGGUAAAAUGAAACAGCUUUCAUUUAGUCAUGCAGACCGACAGGAGGAUUUAUGUCCACGCAUUAAACUCUGUGCAAUGUACUUAUGCAACUAAACUGCUGAGAGACCUGCAUGCAAGUGCAAAGCAAUAGGUGUAAAUUCCCCCUCGCUGUUGCAGUUACAAGUCAGCUUUUAUCCCGACGCUUUACGCUGCAAACCUCCUGGAAGAAGAUGUGCUGAGAACGUGGAAAUAAUCUUUGUAUUCAGAAAAAUGUCAGCUGAUGAGAGGACAAAAAAAAAAGCUGAAUCUGUGUCCUCUGUCAACCCAAAGAUCAUUAAGUGAAGAGUCCUGGACCGACAUGACGUGUCUGCAGAGCUGACGUGUGCAGGAAUCGCACCUGUCUGACCUGUGGGCUCCAUUUGAGGGGUAAUUAGUGUGAAAUAAGAGAGGUCAACGAUAACAGGAGGUUAGUGAGGGAGAGGAAUGAGACGCUAACAGGAAAAUUGGCGACGGAUAAAGGAUCAAUUUCUAAACUUAAGGAGACUAAUAAUGAUUAAAAUAGACGAUGAAGAGAGCUGUAACGGUCAUUCUUGGUCUGAAAACAUGAAUUCGUUUUACUCCCUCUGUUUACAUUCAUGGUGUCUCCUACGAUGUUCUGCUCUUACUCAUGUGAACUGAGGCGAGAUUCCACCUGGACCAUGUCGGCUCGUAGCCACUGGAACAUAACUAGCUCCAUCACACCCUCAUCUGUCCCUCAACCACAGCUGCCAAGACCCUGUGAUCCUUUGUCCCCCCCGAGUCCCUGAGACCACAGCUCCUCUGUUUGUCAGUGUGUGAGGGGGCGGACGGUGAACUACCAGACACCUCUGCCUCCUCCUCCUCCUCCUGCACCUGCGCCCUGCAGAAAAUCCUCGGAGAGACCAUUACAUGAUCACGGCUGACAGAGCAGAUCCCAGCUCUGCCUCUGAGGCCGGCGACUGUUCACGGUGUGAGGAUGAGUGAGCUUUAAAGUUCAGAGAGAGCCAGGAGUCCUGCACGCCACGCCGUCAGGCGGGGAGCUGGAUCACACUUACAUGAGGAGGAGGAGGAGGAGGAGGCUGAUGUCAGGGCUGGAGCAUCUGCAGCGAGGCGUCAGGAGGAAACACGGACAUGAUGGUGAUCAUGAUGCACAUCCUCUCUGGCGGACUGUCAUUGAGAAAAGAGUCAGACUUCCUGUGAAUCACUUUUCUAAGGAACGUGACCCUCAAUUUCCACCGCAUCCUGUACAGCUACGAAAAGGUAGUAUUCUCCGAUCGUAGCUGAUCGUAACCAUUCAAGUUAACGUGUCAAUUUCUUUGAGGUGAAUUUCGUGGCGGAUUACGGACAGCAGGAAUCGCGAGAACUCACAAGAACCUACGGAUUCAUGUUCAAUCUCAAUAUAACAAGUUGUCUCUCUAAAGACAGACACAAAGACAUAUAAGCAGUAGAUUGUGUCCUUCCAGAGGAGGAAAUCUACCUCUAGACUUCUAGAAUCAGCAUCUCCUCAUCCAUGGUGUCAUCGGGGUGAAAUGACGUCUAAAAACCUUUCACUUGUUCGUCUCCGUCUCUUAUUUUGAAAAGAAGCCGGAUGUUUUAUUUUGUGUCUGUGCCCGACUUCCUUUCCAGCACGGGUUAAUAUGUGCUGAAUUUAUCCGCCAUGCUCCGGCGUCCGAAAAAAACUCUUGCGAUCAGCAGAGGAACGGAAAGAAGUCGGUGUAAAUUGACACGUUAACUUGAAUGGUUACGAUCAGCUACGAUCGGAGGAUACAACCUUUUUGUAACUGUUCAGGAUGAAGG